rnacentral:rRNA from 1 species
GUCCACGCCGUAAACGAUGGGUACUAGGCGUCGGGGGGAGCGACCCCCUCGGUGCCGUCGCUAACGCAGUAAGUACCCCGCCUGGGGAGUACGGUCGCAAGACUGAAACUCAAAAGGAAUUGACGGGGGCCCGCACAAGCGGUGGAGCAUGUGGUUUAAUUCGAAGCAACGCGAAGAACCUUACCUGGGCUUGACAUGCACGGGAAAGCCGGUGGAAACAUCGGCCCCUCUUCGGAGUCCGUGCACAGGUGCUGCAUGGCUGUCGU